UACGUAGGGGGCAAGCGUUGUCCGGAAUCAUUGGGCGUAAAGAGCGUGUAGGCGGCUUGGUAAGUCCGCUGUGAAAGUCCAGGGCUCAACCCUGGAAUGCCGGUGGAAACUGUCAAGCUUGAGUCCGGAAGAGGAGAGUGGAAUUCCCGGUGUAGCGGUGAAAUGCGCAGAUAUCGGGAAGAACACCCGUGGCGAAGGCGGCUCUCUGGGACGGUACUGACGCUGAGACGCGAAAGCGUGGGGAGCGAACAGG
rnacentral:rRNA from 1 species